AAGUCGUAACAAGGUCUCCGUUGGUGAACCAGCGGAGGGAUCAUUGCGGAAUAACGCCUGUAACUACAGGCGCUGCCCAGAAACCCUUUUGUGAACUUAUACCUCAACUAUUGCCUCGGCAUUGGUUGGCUUCCUUCGUGAAGUCCCUUUUAGGCUCUUUUUCUUCUUUUUUUCGCAGAAAAAAAAGAAAAAUUCCAUUAGAAGGAGCAGAACCGGCCGGUGGCCCUCCUAUAAACUCUUUAAUUUUUUUGAAAAAAAUAGUAUCAUCUGAGUAGAACCAUUUUAAAUGAAUCAAAA
rnacentral:misc_RNA from 1 species